rnacentral:misc_RNA from 1 species
AACAUCGCGCACCUGCGGGAACCUGCGGAAGGAUCAUUACUGAGUUACUACUCUUAACCCUUGUGAACAUUAUCUGUGUUGCUUCGGGCAGAUUUUCCCUGGGAGGGAAUUUUAGCCUUUAGUGGUAAUCUGCCAGAGGCUUUAAACUCUUAAUUUCAUGGAGCUUUCUGAGGAUAUUUAUAAAAAAAAUAAAAACUUUCAACAAUGGAUCU